GCCUCAAGCCCGGUAAAAUUUAGUGGCGAGCUUUGACUGAACCACUGGUCUAAAGCGGUGCGGGGGCUUCAAAUCUGAGGGAAAACCACGCCUCAUCCUUGACGGUCAUGGGAUAGGCGACUGAGUGCCGAUGAGGAAGGGGAAUCCCAGCUAGCGCGAAAUGCGUAGAGAUCUGGGGAACACCAGUGCGAAGCCGACUUCUCGUCAGUAUUGACGCUGAGCGUGAAUGCCUGGGAGCAAACAGGCUUGAUACCGGGUUGUUCCAAAGUAUACGCGAUUGCUAAUACUCUGGGGUUCCGCCCCCUAUUCUGCAGCCAAUGCACCAGCUCUCAACGCCCGACUACGACCGCACAGGGCUAUCUAUCGGAAUUAGGAGGCCACCCGCACACGCUGUAGCGCCUGUGGUUCAUUUCGACGCAACGCGAAGAACUUUCACAGGUGUUGAUAUCACAAUGAUCGCUCUAGAGAUAGAGUUUUCCUUUGGGGGACAUUGGUCACAGGUGGCGCAUGGUUGUCGUCAGCUCGUGUCGUGAGAUGCUGGGUUAAGUCCCGCAACGAGCGCAACCCUUAAUUUUAGUUGCCAUCAUUUAGUUGGGCACUCUAAGGUGACUGCCGGUGACAAACCGGAGGAAGGUGGGGAUGACGUCAAAUCAUCAUGCCCCUUAUGACCUGGGCUACACACGUGCUACAAUGGACGGUACAAAGAGUCGCUAACUCGCGAGAGCACGCUAAUCUCAUAAAACCGUUCUCAGUUCGGAUUGUAGGCUGCAACUCGCCUACAUGAAGCCGGAAUCGCUAGUAAUCGCGGAUCAGCAUGCCGCGGUGAAUACGUUCCCGGGCCUUGUACACACCGCCCGUCACACCACGAGAGUUUGUAACACCCGAAGUCGGUGAGGUAACCGUUAGAACCAACCCAGCUAGUGAAAUGUGGGCG
rnacentral:rRNA from 1 species